CUAAUACAUGCAAGUCGAGCGAACGGACGAGAAGCUUGCUUCUCUGAUGUUAGCGGCGGACGGGUGAGUAACACGUGGAUAACCUACCUAUAAGACUGGGAUAACUUCGGGAAACCGGAGCUAAUACCGGAUAAUAUUUUGAACCGCAUGGUUCAAAAGUGAAAGACGGUCUUGCUGUCACUUAUAGAUGGAUCCGCGCUGCAUUAGCUAGUUGGUAAGGUAACGGCUUACCAAGGCAACGAUGCAUAGCCGACCUGAGAGGGUGAUCGGCCACACUGGAACUGAGACACGGUCCAGACUCCUACGGGAGGCAGCAGUAGGGAAUCUUCCGCAAUGGGCGAAAGCCUGACGAAGCAACGCCGCGUGAGUGAUGAAGGUCUUCGGAUCGUAAAACUCUGUUAUUAGGGAAGAACAUAUGUGUAAGUAACUGUGCACAUCUUGACGGUACCUAAUCAGAAAGCCACGGCUAACUACGUGCCAGCAGCCGCGGUAAUACGUAGGUGGCAAGCGUUAUCCGGAAUUAUUGGGCGUAAAGCGCGCGUAGGCGGUUUUUUAAGUCUGAUGUGAAAGCCCACGGCUCAACCGUGGAGGGUCAUUGGAAACUGGAGAACUUGAGUGCAGAAGAGGAAAGUGGAAUUCCAUGUGUAGCGGUGAAAUGCGCAGAGAUAUGGAGGAACACCAGUGGCGAAGGCGACUUUCUGGU
rnacentral:rRNA from 1 species